rnacentral:rRNA from 1 species
CUUGCCGAGGCUUUUUGUACCGACGACGAUCUCGAACCGGCUCUGCGCGCGCGAAAGCGUUCGCGCUCUCGCGCGCUCACCUGUCGGCGACGCUUUUGCUUUGGGUACUUUCAGGAUCCGUCUUGAAACACGGACCAAGGAGUCUAACAUGUGCGCGAGUCAUUGGGUUUUUUUAUAUUAUAUUUAAAGCCUAAAGGCGCAAUGAAAGUGAAGAUACGGCAGGCAUUCGUGCCUGAGCCGAUCGAGGGAGGAUGGCCCGCGUCACGAUGCGGGCCCGCACUCCCGGGGCGUCUCGCGCUCAUUGCGAG